CGGAGCGGGCUUUUCCUAUCGAGCAGAGCUCCCACCAGGCUUUAAUGGGCAAUACGAUUCAUCUGGAUGGACGGCGCUUUUGCUGUGUCUGGGCAGCGGAGGUAGGACGCACGAUCUGCCGCGGAGCAGGAGGGAUCACCGCUCCGGACGCGCGCCUCGUGGCGCGGGCUCCCUGGGUCUUGCGGGCAGAACGGUCCGGGAGCACGCGCGAGGUGCCCCUCCGCCUCAGGGCGGGAGCGGGCGCUCAGGACGCCUGCCCGUGGGUUCCUGGGAGGUAGGAGCCCCACACCCUUCGCGUCACGGUGAAGAAGCGCUGUAUCCCCAGUGGUCUCAAUGCACCGCCCUGCCCUGCGACACUUACUGAAACAGAACAGGGACAGCAGUUCAGGAAUCAUCGUGGCAUGUCAGUCCGUCCAGGGUCUUUCUGCAGUUUUGCAGCCGCCGAAGGGAGACAAGCGGAAAAUCAUUCGAAGCCCCCCACCCCCCAUCUCACCGCAUGUGAAGAUGUUUCUUUGGGCAGACGGAAGAGUCUGAAUGAUCCUUUUGCUGUGUGACGGUACCUAUUGCUCUGUUACAACAUCCCCACAAACUCAGUGGUUAAGCAACAUAUAUUUAUUGUUGCGUAGUUUCUGUGGGCCAAGAAUGUGGGCACAACCCAGCAGGGUUCUGUAGGAGCUGAAAUCAAGGUGUGAUCAUAGGAUUCUCGUACAGAGAGACAGGACACCCAGGCUUUGUGCCAGGAAGCAGUGUUUAUUUGUGUCGGCACUGGCUCAGCAGAUUCAUAUCCAAGGGCUGAGCCCCUAAUGCAGCAGGAUGCUGUCUUAUAUACCCUCUGUUUUUCCUGUUGCACUUUGGUUCCUUUGUCCCCCUUAUAAGAGAACAUGCAUUCUGUAAAUUCUGGUUGCAUGGGCUCCGUUACAAAGUUGCACAUGGAUACUGAUGGCAUCUUGUGGCUGCAGAGUCACACAUGUGCACACAGAUGCUGGUUAUGCCACGUUGCCUUCCCUUUGUUCUGGGAGGGCCCUUCCCACCGCAUCAGCCAGGACUGUGGGCUAGUCUGAAAGCUCAGGAGGCGAGGGAUCCACGUCUGAAUUACAGUGUGAGUCUGACACUCACGACCCAGAAUUGGCACAGGGUAAGGGCCCAGUUCCCAUCAUACUGCCCUCAUUUAAUUUUUAAUUUUUAUUUUCUUUUUUGUC